rnacentral:lncRNA from 1 species
GUUCCUACAAUGGAUAUGCUACAACCAACAUACACCUCAGGAUUCUGAAUGGCUAGGAGAUCGAGUUAUGGUGUAGUCAAACUAUAACACACUCAAGGUGAACCAUCGAUGCACCUCAGGUCAAAGAACUAGACACACAACUGCAGCAUCGAGCUAGUCAUCGAUGAGAAGGUAGACUUCCUUAUGACUGCUCGAGGUGAUCACGCUGAGUACUCUCAUU